GACGAACGCUGGCGGCGUGCUUAACACAUGCAAGUCGAACGGAAAGGCCCUGCUUUUGUGGGGUGCUCGAGUGGCGAACGGGUGAGUAACACGUGAGUAACCUGCCCUUUACUUUGGGAUAACUUCAGGAAACUGGGGCUAAUACCGGAUAUGAGCUCCUGCUGCAUGGUGGGGUUUGGAAAGUUUCGGCGGUUGGGGAUGGACUCGCGGCUUAUCAGCUUGUUGGUGGGGUAGUGGCUUACCAAGGCUUUGACGGGUAGCCGGCCUGAGAGGGUGACCGGCCACAUUGGGACUGAGAUACGGCCCAGACUCCUACGGGAGGCAGCAGUGGGGAAUAUUGCACAAUGGGCGGAAGCCUGAUGCAGCAACGCCGCGUGCGGGAUGACGGCCUUCGGGUUGUAAACCGCUUUCGCCUGUGACGAAGCGUGAGUGACGGUAAUGGGUAAAGAAGCACCGGCUAACUACGUG
rnacentral:rRNA from 1 species